UCUCCCGCCCCAGGGGCGGGCUGCCGCCGCCCUCUGCAGCUGAGUCAGUGCAGUUCCUCACCUACCUUCUCUGCUCACCGCUGUGUGCUAGCAAUCGGAGGACCCUUGGCACACGGAGCGACAGGGGCCUCCCCCACAGACACCUCAUUUUGGGAAAGAAGCUGUACAGGAGGCAUGGCUGGGGAGGCCUCAGAAAACUUACAAUCAUGGCAGAAGGUGAAGGGGAAGCCAGCACAUCUUCAUAUGAUGGCAGGAACUUUAUAUGUUAUAGAAGUUAGCCCCAAGAAUGAAAUCGUGUCCUUUGCCAAAACAUGGAUGGAGCUAGAGGCCUUUAUCCUAAGGUGCUCUAUGCUUAGCCCAUCAUAGAUUGUGGCCCUUCAUUCCUGCAUUUGAUGAAUCCAGGGAACCCUCUCUCCAACACCCUUGGCCUCUCUGCAACUUUCUAACAUCAGGCAGAGUCAGAGGCACCAUCCCCAGAAGCUACAAAUCUUCAGCAUUCUCCACUCUGUGAAGUCAGAGGAAUGGCGGGACCAUAGCUCUGAGCUCAUUGGCAAAUACAACUAAUUUCAAUUUCUGGAAUGGAAGCAGUCAGAUAUUCUUCUGACUGCACGCGUAUGUGGGAGUGCCAUGUUGAAGAGUGGAAAAUAUGGAAGAUCAGUCCCUACAAACUUAAUAGGAGAAUGACAUUCAGAUUUCCCGAGUAUUUUGCAUGUCCAACUGAAAACUGAAGUAGGUUUAUGAGAGAAUGCACGCCUACCUGGAUGGGUCUGGGGAGUGUGUCACUGUCACCGCAGAUAAUUGACAAGGGCUGAUCAAAUAGCGAUGCUUUCAAGUCUGUCUCCAAAGCCCCAGAAAAAUCUGAUGCAGGGGAGAGCCUUCUCAUGAGAAAGGGCCAGGACAGCACCUUCUUUCUCUUCUUAACUUCUACAGCCAAGAAAACAAGGCAACGAGAAAAAUUAGACUACAGUGUUAAGAAGCAAAGAUCCAGCUGUUUGCUACAGAAAAUUAGCAAAACCUAACUGUGCUGAUCAUAAACAACCAUCUUAACCUACUGGCCUGAAUAACUAUAGAGGAAAUUUCUGAUAUGAAAUAGAUUAUUUUGAUUUCCUCCUUUAACUGGCGAAGAAAACGAAACUUAAAAGGUGACUGGUCACCUUGGGUUUUCCAGGUUGCUGCUUUAGGACAGAGGCAAAUACGAAUCGCUGCGGGAAGCCUUGAACCUAGAUCUGGCAACUGGGAAUUAUCAGCAAAACGUUAUCAAGAUAUUCUGUCCUUCUGAAAUCCACAAGAUGUGUGUGCAAUGGAUAUUGCAAUCUCAAACAUUUCCUUCUUUCUUUUCUUUUCCUUCCUUCCUUCC
rnacentral:lncRNA from 1 species